rnacentral:rRNA from 1 species
CCUACGGGUGGCUGCAGUGGGGAAUUUUGGACAAUGGGGGCAACCCUGAUCCAGCCAUGCCGCGUGAGUGAAGAAGGCCUUCGGGUUGUAAAGCUCUUUCGGCCGGGAAGAAAUCGCGCCAGCUAAUACCUGGUGUGGAUGACGGUACCGGAAGAAGAAGCACCGGCUAACUACGUGCCAGCAGCCGCGGUAAUACGUAGGGUGCGAGCGUUAAUCGGAGUUACUGGGCGUAAUGCGUUAAGAGAGGGGUGAAAUCCCCGGGCUUAACCUGGGAACUGCGCGUGUGACUGCAAGACUUGAGUGCGGCAGAGGGGGGUGGAAUUCCACGUGUAGCAGUGAAAUGCGUAGAGAUGUGGAGGAACACCGAUGGCGAAGGCAGCCCCCUGGGUCGACACUGACGCUCAUGCACGAAAGCGUGGGGAGCAAACAGGAUUAGAUACCCCUGUAGUC